UACGGGGGGUGCAAGCGUUGUCCGGAUUUACUGGGCGUAAAGGGCGCGUAGGCGGCUUGAUCAGUCGGACUUUUAAGAGCGGGGCUCAACCCCGUGGUGGGUUCGGGACGGUCGAGCUGGGGCGCGGUCGAGGGGGAUGGAAUGCCGGGUGUAGUGGUGAAAUGCGUAGAUAUCAGGAGGAACACCGGUGGCGAAGGCGGAUCUCUGGGCCUUACCUGACGCUCAGGCGCGAAAGCUAGGGGGAGCGAACAGG
rnacentral:rRNA from 1 species